rnacentral:rRNA from 1 species
GACGAACGCUGGCGGCGUGCUUAACACAUGCAAGUCGAACGGAAAGGCCCUGCUUUUGUGGGGUGCUCGAGUGGCGAACGGGUGAGUAACACGUGAGUAACCUGCCCUUGACUUUGGGAUAACUUCAGGAAACUGGGGCUCAUACCGGAUAGGAGCUCCUGCUGCUUGGUGGGCGUUGGAUAGUUUCGGCGGUUGGGGAUGGACUCGCGGCUUAUCAGCUUGUUGGUGGGGUAGUGGCUUACCAAGGCUUUGACGGGUAGCCGGCCUGCGAGGGUGACCGGCCACAUUGGGACUGGGAUACGGCCCAGACUCCUACGGGAGGCAGCAGUGGGGAAUAUUGCACAAUGGGCGGAAGCCUGAUGCAGCAACGCCGCGUGCGGGAUGACGGCCUUCGGGUUGUAAACCGCUAUCGCCUGUGACGAAGCGUGAGUGACGGUAAUGGGUAAAGAAGCACCGGCUAACUACGUG